rnacentral:ncRNA from 1 species
GUUUUUAAAGUUUACAACAUUUGUAUAGCUCAUAAUAAGGUUGAGCGUCUCUACGGCAGACCAUGAAUAAUUGCCACUACAAAUGAAUUUUUUUCAAUC